AAUCAUAUAUUAAAUUAUCGUCAAAAUAAUAAAAAGUGGAGUAAAACCGAUACUUAAUAUGAAUUUAAUUCAAAAUGAAUUCCGGUUAAAAAUACUUUGAAAAAUUCUAAUCUUCCCAAAAUAAAGAUUUUCAAUCGUCUCCUUUCUCAAAAAAUUUUUAAAAUUUUCAAACAUCCUUCAUCAAAUCAAUUUUUAAAAACAAAUUUUACACGCGAAAAUCAACAUGUAAUGCAAUGAAUAAAAAUAUGCAACAAGCACAAAUCAAAGCAUUACAUAAACAAUCAAAACAAAUUAAGACGAA
rnacentral:lncRNA from 1 species